AUCGCAUGGUAGAAGUAUCAAAGCUUUUGCGGUACAGGAUGGACCCGCGUCUGAUUAGCUAGUUGGUAAGGUAACGGCUUACCAAGGCGACGAUCAGUAGCCGACCUGAGAGGGUGAUCGGCCACAUUGGAACUGAGACACGGUCCAAACUCCUACGGGAGGCAGCAGUGGGGAAUAUUGCACAAUGGGCGAAAGCCUGAUGCAGCAACGCCGCGUGAGCGAUGAAGGCCUUCGGGUCGUAAAGCUCUGUCCUCAAGGAAGAUAAUGACGGUACUUGAGGAGGAAGCCCCGGCUAACUACGUGCCAGCAGCCGCGGUAAUACGUAGGGGGCUAGCGUUAUCCGGAAUUACUGGGCGUAAAGGGUGCGUAGGUGGUUUCUUAAGUCAGAGGUGAAAGGCUACGGCUCAACCGUAGUAAGCCUUUGAAACUGGGAAACUUGAGUGCAGGAGAGGAGAGUGGAAUUCCUAGUGUAGCGGUGAAAUGCGUAGAUAUUAGGAGGAACACCAGUUGCGAAGGCGGCUCUCUGGACUGUAACUGACACUGAGGCACGAAAGCGUGGGGAGCAAACAGGAUUAGAUACCCUGGUAGUCCACGCCGUAAACGAUGAGUACUAGCUGUCGGAGGUUACCCCCUUCGGUGGCGCAGCUAACGCAUUAAGUACUCCGCCUGGGAAGUACGCUCGCAAGAGUGAAACUCAAAGGAAUUGACGG
rnacentral:rRNA from 1 species